UGGGCCUAGGGCCUGCUGACCGCUGGGGCAGCCUGCAGAGUACACGAUACCUGCUGCGGGAGGCCGUGGCCCAGGUAUAGGACAGGACUCAGUCUCUGAGGUGAGCUCUCCAAUGGAUUGGACCAUACUGUGCCCUCCACCCCAGGGGUCUCCACCAGAAACACUAUACCAUGAGCUGGCUCCCAGAGCCAAGACUACACCCAGGCCUGUGCCCCCUGCGAUGUCCCUAGGCCCCUCCGCAUCCCAGGUAGGAGCCAGGACAGGCAUGUGGAGGAGCAAGGGAGCUGUGAGGCA